CAUAUUUCUGUUCAAAUGUGUGUUUGUGCUAUAUUUCUUUAAAAAAAAAAUUUCAUCAAAGCUUUUCAGGGCUUUCGGAGUCACUGUAGAUCAGAAGACUGAGGCUUUUGAAACGAUUUGUAUGUUUAAAACAUUUAUUUUCUUCAUAAAGUCAUGGAUGACAUCUAUAAUGACUAAUCUGAACAUUUGGAACGUGAAAUGAAUGCAUAAAAUAAAUAAAUUCUCACACAACAAAACAGACAGCAUGAAAAACUAGUGCAUUUACAGCAGAAGGUGCUUGAUUGUCAUGUUCUUGAGCAGCACUGCUCUGGGUUUGUUCAUUUGAGGUUCGAAUUAAAAUCGAAAGACUUUCUGUCUGCUUUGCGAAGAAUUCCCCAAAGGCUUCGCUUGCUUUUGCUGACCUGUUUCACUGACUCAUAGCUCUGAGCCAGCUGCUUCUCUAUCUCGAUUCCAGUAACGCUGUGGCUUCUAAAGAACUGAUGAGCGACGGGAGACUGAUGUGGAGGGGUGCCGGCAUGUGUCUGGAUCGGUGAUGUUCUGACAGUGAUGCUUCUUUUCAUUUCCAGCUUAGGGUGUCUGGACGGGUUUAUCUCUUCAUCAUGACCCCAACGUCUAUGGCCCUGGAAGAACAGUGCCUCUUCGUUGGCCAUCUGUGGGCUCUUGCUCAAAGUUACGAAGCCGUACGGAGUGGUGACUUUGGGAAGGUGAGGUAAAGAAAGAGCUGCUCGGCUGGCAUGGUCAGAGCAAUGUUCAGCAUCCACCAGAGAACAGUUGCUCUGAGUCUGAGCCCGUUUGACAUCUGAGAUGGCUUUUCUUCCAGGUACAGGAGAUACACCGAACCCCGAGGAUGAUGAUGACGAUGAAACUGAAGAUGAAAGAGAAAGCCUAGAAUGAUAGGAUCCACUGACGUUAUCAAUGCUCCCCCAGUCCUCAUCUUCUUCACCUUGUCGUUCUUUCUCAUUCACUCUGGCUCUAAACCCAUUCUCCAGGGCGAGUUUAGGAAUGGUGAAUUGCGGGAUGCUGUCCGGUGUCACGACGAUACUGCGUAUGCUGUCUUUACUCCCGCGGUUUUCUGACGCCAGCGAACUUCCAAAAGAACUACUUCUCGCGGUGGCCCAUUUGAGAGCGAGUAUUCCCGCGGAACUGUGUCUGCGCGGGAACGGGAAUCCCGCGCUUUCAGACUGGCUUUCGGCGCUCGUGCAGUUUCCAGCACUGAUGACGUGCGUAAACGUGACGAGGGAGCCGUGAGCAGAAACAUGUCCAAAUGUGGCUCUCUUCCGCCUUGACGGGUCUCCUCCGGGACUGACGGUGAUGACAGAGACGACACCCGCACGAAAUUGUAGUUUGGUAACCACAGUUACUGCAAUUACUGUUAAUAGAAUAACAAAACAAAAUGGCACUGAAGAUUAUGAAAACUCUCUGAAGAGAUAUGCUAUGUUGAUGUAUUAAUUUUAAUUCUAUUUUACAUUUAAAUUUUUACUUACAGCCUGGUACUUUCAUAAUUAUCCUAGUUGCAAAUAAUUACCAUACUCUAAGGUAAUUCAAAUAAUGUAAUGGUACUCUAUAGUGUGCACAAGGUUUUACUUUUAUGAAUGCAUAAGUUAUAUUUUAGGAAUAUUUAGCUUUUUAUGACUUUAUGUGAAAGCAUUUUUUGGUAGUUUUUUAUUAUGAUGUAAUUUAUUUCAGUUACACUGUAAUAAAUUUAAACGAAACGGUAAAUGUACCUUUAUU
ensembl:lncRNA